rnacentral:rRNA from 1 species
UUGCCCUCUGGGCGGCCUGGGCGGUCGUGCUCUCGGGCCGACCGGGCCCCAAUCCUUCUGUGGUUGGGGUCGGCUAACUUUUUCCACACACCCAACCAAACUAUCUGUCUGAAGCUGACUCGAGCCGGCAUUGCCGAUCGAUUAACAAAGACAACUCUCAACAACGGAUAUCUUGGCUCUCGCAACGAUGAAGAACGCAGCGAAAUGCGAUACGUAGUGUGAAUUGCAGAAUUCCGUGAAUCAUCGAAUCUUUGAACGCAUAUUGCGGUCGAGGCUUCGGCCAAGACCAUGUCUGCCUCAGCGUCGGUGUGAACCCUCACUCCCCCUCACGGGUGGCGUGGACCUGGCCUCCUCAGUCCUAGUGGCUGGGCUGGCUGAAAUUCGGAGGCUCCCGCUCGGGCCUGUAUGGCAGCAGCAAGGUAGGUAGUUUACUACUCCGGCUGAUGCUUUGGGCACGUGGCAUGAGCCCGCAGGAAAAUCUCACCUUUUCGACCUGAGAUCAGGCAAGGCU